ensembl:lncRNA
AUGAAUAAGAUGACUCUCAGAAUCUUUGCUGCAGAUCUUCUUGUAUUCAGCUCUAUUCUAUCAGGUUGGUAUUUUUAUUUUUCUCUUGUUCGCAUAUCAAUGUUUGACGACCAGAAAGUUAAUUUUAUAUAUUCAUUUUACACACACACACACACACACACACAUAUAUAUAUUCAGCAGCAGGAAGCAUGAAGUGCUCUAAAACUUCCUGGUAUACGGCUGCGUUGACCUUGGACCUCAGAAAACACAGUGGACCUACACCAGCUGAUAACAUGGCACCCCAAACCAUCACUGACUGUGGAAACUUUACACUGGACCUCAAGCAACGUGGAUUGUGUGCCUCUCCUGUCUUCCUCCAGACUCUGGAACCCUGAUUUCCAAAGGAAAUGCAAAAUUUACUUUCAUCAGAGCACAUAACUUUGGACUACUCAGCAGCAGUCCAGUCCUUUUUGAAGCGAGACGCUUCUGACACUGUCUGUUGUUCAAGAGUGGCUUGACACAAGGAAUGCAACAGCUGAAACCCAUGUCUUGCAUACGUCUGUGUCUAAUGGUUCUUGAAGCACUGACUCCAGCUGGAAUCCACUCUUUGUGAAUCUCCCCCACAUUUUUGAAUGGGUUUUGUUUCACAGUCCUCUCCUUGUACACUUUUUUCUACCACAUCUUUUCCUUCCCUUCGCCUCUCUAUUAAUUUGCUUGGACACAGAGCUCUGUGAACAGCCAGCCUCUUUUGCAAUGACCUUUUGUGUCUUACCCUCCUUGUGCAAGGUGUCAAUGGUUGUCUUUUGGACAGUUGUCAAGUCAGCAGUCUUCACCAUGAUUGUGGGGCAAAAUUAAAGAAUUAACAUUUUCUCAUAUUAUUUGUACUAUCUUAUUAUUUUAGUGGUUAGAACAAGUAUGAUUUGGGCUAAAUUAUUUAAGCCCCACAUCUUCACGAGUCGCGAAUGGUUCUCAACUGGAGAGAACAUGAGAGGACUCUCUUUUCAUUAUUUUCCCACUUUAACAAGUUAACCAAUAUUCGUUAUUUUGUUUAUAAACCCACUAAUAACAACGUGGGGGACUGAGUAAUUUCUGGCUA